AAGUCGUAACAAGGUUUCCGUAGGUGAACCUGCGGAAGGAUCAUUAACGAAUGCGAGUCGGUCGACCGUGCUGGCGGAAACGCAUGUGCACGUCAGUCGCAAACAUCCACACACACACCUGUGAACGUAUGGCCUUUGAGUCUUUUGACUCGGGGCAAACCAUUUUUACCCACUCUGUAAAAGAAUGUUUAAAACGCGUAAAGCAAACAACUUUCAACAACGGAUCUCUUGGCUCUCGCAUCGAUGAAGAACGCAGCGAAAUGCGAUAAGUAAUGUGAAUUGCAGAAUUCAGUGAAUCAUCGAAUCUUUGAACGCACCUUGCACCCUUUGGUAUUCCGAAGGGUACACCCGUUUGAGUGUCAUUGUAAUCUCACCCCCAAAUUCUUUUGGGUGUGGACUUGGAUGCUGCCGAUCCGUCGGCUCGUCUGGAAUGUCUCAGUGUACCCCGCUCGUCGGCGUAAACAGUGUGAUAAGUAUCUUCACUGGUCAGCUUCUCCGGAGGCGCGCUUUCAGGUGGGCUCCUGCGCUUACAACCGUCUUCGGACAAAUCUCUGACAAUUUGACCUCAAAUCGGGUGGGAUUACCCGCUGAACUUAAGCAUAUCAAUAAGCGGAGGAAAAGAAACUAACAGGGAUUCCCCUAGUAACGGCGAGUGAAGAGGGAAAAGCUCAAAUUUUGAAUCUGACGUCUUUGGCGUCCGAGUUGUAAUCUAGAGAAGUGUUUUCCGUACCGGACCGUGCACAAGUUCCCUGGAACGGGGCGUCAUAGAGGGUGAGAAUCCCGUAUAUGGCACGGACUCCCGGCACUCUGUGAUACACUCUCAACGAGUCGAGUUGUUUGGGAAUGCAGCUCAAAAUGGGUGGUAAAUUCCAUCUAAAGCUAAAUAUAGGCGAGAGACCGAUAGCGAACAAGUACCGUGAGGGAAAGAUGAAAAGCACUUUGGAAAGAGAGUGAAACAGUACGUGAAAUUGUUGAAAGGGAAGCGUUUGAAGUCAGUCGCGUCUGUCGGGAUUCAGCCUGGCUUCUGCCUGGUGUACUUCCCGUCCGACGGGUCAGCAUCAGUUUUGACCGAGAGAAAAAGGCUUGGGGAAUGUGGCUGUCUUCGGGCAGUGUUAUAGACCCUUGUUGUAUGUCUCGGUUGGGACUGAGGACUGCAGCGCGCCUCACGGCCGGGGUUCGCCCUCGGUACGCGCUUAGGAUGCUGGCAUAAUGGCUUUAAGCGACC
rnacentral:rRNA from 1 species